rnacentral:rRNA from 1 species
UGGGGAAUAUUGGACAAUGGGCGCAAGCCUGAUCCAGCCAUACCGCGUGGGUGAAGAAGGCCUUCGGGUUGUAAAGCCCUUUUGUUGGGAAAGAAAUCCAGCUGGCUAAUACCCGGUUGGGAUGACGGUACCCAAAGAAUAAGCACCGGCUAACUUCGUGCCAGCAGCCGCGGUAAUACGAAGGGUGCAAGCGUUACUCGGAAUUACUGGGCGUAAAGCGUGCGUAGGUGGUCGUUUAAGUCCGUUGUGAAAGCCCUGGGCUCAACCUGGGAACUGCAGUGGAUACUGGACGACUAGAGUGUGGUAGAGGGUAGCGGAAUUCCUGGUGUAGCAGUGAAAUGCGUAGAGAUCAGGAGGAACAUCCAUGGCGAAGGCAGCUACCUGGACCAACACUGACACUGAGGCACGAAAGCGUGGGGAGCAAACAGGAUUAGAUACCCGCGUAGUCCCUGAGCGGGCUGGCAAGGCGCAU